AUUGAACGCUGGCGGCAUGCUUUACACAUGCAAGUCGAACGGUAACAGGCCGCAAGGUGCUGACGAGUGGCGAACGGGUGAGUAAUGCAUCGGAACGUGCCCAGUCGUGGGGGAUAACGCAGCGAAAGCUGCGCUAAUACCGCAUACGAUCUAUGGAUGAAAGUGGGGGACCGUAAGGCCUCGCGCGAUUGGAGCGGCCGAUGUCAGAUUAGGUAGUUGGGGGGGUAAAGGCUCACCAAGGCGACGAUCUGUAGCUGGUCUGAGAGGACGACCAGCCACACUGGGACUGAGACACGGCCCAGACUCCUACGGGAGGCAGCAGUGGGGAAUUUUGGACAAUGGGCGCAAGCCUGAUCCAGCAAUGCCGCGUGCAGGAAGAAGGCCUUCGGGUUGUAAACUGCUUUUGUACGGAACGAAACGGCUCUGGUUAAUACCUGGGGCUAAUGACGGUACCGUAAGAAUAAGCACCGGCUAACUACGUGCCAGCCGCCGCCGUAACAC
rnacentral:rRNA from 1 species